rnacentral:rRNA from 1 species
GCAUAUCAAUAAGCGGAGGAAAAGAAACCAACAGGGAUUGCCCCAGUAACGGCGAGUGAAGCGGCAACAGCUCAAAUUUGAAAUCUGGCCCCCCGGCCCGAGUUGUAAUUUGGAGAGGAUGCUUCUGGCGCGGCGCCGUCCGAGUUCCUUGGAACAGGACGCCACAGAGGGUGAGAGCCCCGUACGGACGGACGCCUAGCCUCUACGAAGCUCCUUCGACGAGUCGAGUAGUUUGGGAAUGCUGCUCAAAAUGGGAGGUAAAUUUCUUCUAAAGCUAAAUACCGGCCAGAGACCGAUAGCGCACAAGUAGAGUGAUCGAAAGAUGAAAAGCACUUUGAAAAGAGGGUUAAAAAGUACGUGAAAUUGUUGAAAGGGAAGCGCCUGUGACCAGACUUGCGCCCCGCGGACCACCCGGCGUUCUCGCCGGUGCACUCUGCGGUGCGCAGGCCAGCAUCGGUUCUCCCAGGGGGACAAAGGCCGCGGGAACGUAGCUCCUUCGGGAGUGUUAUAGCCCGCGGCGGCAUGCCCCUGGGGGGACCGAGGACCGCGCUUCGGCAAGGAUGCUGGCGUAAUGGUCACCAGCGACCCGUCUUGAAACACGGACC